rnacentral:rRNA from 1 species
UACGAAGGUCCCAAGCGUUGUUCGGAAUCACUGGGCGUAAAGGGAGCGUAGGCGGCGUGGUAAGUCAGAUGUGAAAUCCCCGGGCUCAACCCGGGAACUGCGUCCGAUACUGGCAGGCUUGAAUCCGGGAGAGGGAUGCGAAAUUCCAGGUGUAGCGGUGAAAUGCGUAGAUAUCGGAAGGAACAUCAGUGGCGAAGGCGACUUCCUGGACCAAUACUGACGCUCAGGUGCGAAAGCGUGGGGAGCAAACAGG